rnacentral:rRNA from 1 species
AGAGUUCGAUCCUGGCUCAGGAUGAACGCUGGCGGCGCGCCUAACACAUGCAAGUCGAACGAUUAAAGCACCUUCGGGUGUGUAUAAAGUGGCGAACGGCUGAGUAACACGUGGGCAACCUGCCCCUCUCAUUGGGAUAGCCACGGGAAACCGUGGAUAAUACCGAAUACUUCGAGACCUCCGCAUGGAAGACUCGAGAAAGCUCCGGCGGAGAGGGAUGGGCCCGCGGCCUGUUAGCUUGUUGGUGGGGUAACGGCCUACCAAGGCAAUGAUGGGUAGCUGGGUUGAGAGACCGACCAGCCAGAUUGGGACUGAGACACGGCCCAGACUCCUACGGGAGGCAGCAGUGGGGAAUCUUGCACAAUGGGCGAAAGCCUGAUGCAGCGACGCCGCGUGCGGGAUGAAGGCCUUCGGGUUGUAAACCGCUUUCAGCAGGGACGAGGCGAAAGUGACGGUACCUGCAGAAGAAGCCCCGGCUAACUACGUGCCAGCAGCCGCGGUAAUACGUAGGGGGCAAGCGUUAUCCGGAUUCAUUGGGCGUAAAGCGCUCGUAGGCGGUCUGUUAGGUCGGGAGUUAAAUCCGGGGGCUCAACCCCCGCUCGCUCCCGAUACCGGCAGACUUGAGUUUGGUAGGGGAAGGUGGAAUUCCUAGUGUAGCGGUGGAAUGCGCAGAUAUUAGGAAGAACACCAGUGGCGAAGGCGGCCUUCUGGGCCAUAACUGACGCUGAGGAGCGAAAGCUAGGGGAGCAAACAGGAUUAGAUACCCUGGUAGUCCUAGCCGUAAACGAUGGACACUAGGUGUGGGGGAAUAUUUCUUCCGUGCCGCAGCUAACGCAUUAAGUGUCCCGCCUGGGGAGUACGGCCGCAAGGCUAAAACUCAA